rnacentral:sRNA from 1 species
CUCACGAGGCAGAUUUAAGAACCCCAACGACAUAAGAACUGGAUUGCAAAAGUUUACCAGAAAUACAUGUACCAUCUGAUUCAGGAACCCCAACAGUCAUUUUCAAAAGAGAUGCCACUGAUAAUGUUUUACCCCAGAGUAAUACGGGAAAAGGGAAUUGAUGAUGGGGGUCCAUCAAGGGAAUUUAUGAGAUUUAUAAUACAAGCAGUGUCAGAGUCUUCUAUUUUCGAAGGCGAGUCCAGAAGAAAGAUGCUUUUGCAAAACCUGUUAGCUGAAGAGAAUGGUGAUUAUGAAACAUAUGGGAAAAUAAUAGCCUAUUGCUUGGUUCAUGGUGGACCAGCACCCACCUUUAUGUCAGAGUUUUUGUUUGGGCUUUUAGCCUAUGGUCCUGAUUCAGCAGACCCUACCAUUGAUGACAUUGUUGAUGAUGAAUAUAAACAACAAGUUCAGAAGAUUGAAAUAUCUACAGAUAUUUCGUCUUUUUUUGAUGCUGUGGAUCCAAUGAGACCCCUUUUGGAUUAUAUUGGUGCUCUUCCAUUGGCAGUACCAAAAAAGAAAAAUGAGCUUGUGCAUGCUUUAUGUAGACACAUUGCUGUCACAAGGAUUGAGAAGUUACUUAAACAGUUCACUAAAGGUCUAAAAUGCCUUGGUGUACUUGACAGGAUCAGAAAUUAUCCUGAUGCCAUGAGAGGGCUCUUUGUCCAUAAAAGUGAUCUUGUUGUUGAUGCGGUGGAAAUGGACAACAUGUCUGUUGUCGAAUUUUCUGAGGAAGGCAGUAACAAAUAUAUUAAUGAAUUAAGAAUACAGACUUACUGGAGAGAUUAUUUACUUGAAAUAGAAGAUACACCUGACAAAUUCAAAUCCAUCUUGGUAUUUGUAACUGGUUUGGAUUCGGUCCCCCCUUUAGGGUUUUCUCCACCACUGAAAUUGAAGUUUCGUCAUCCAGAAGCAGAUGAAAACUUCAGUGUUUUUGCUACCCCUUACGCAAACACAUGCUUCAACACUUUGAGCAUUCCUGUCACCGAAACAUACAAUGCAUUCAAAGAAGUCAUGGACAAUGCACUAGAUUUGGGAUGUUUAUAUACAGAUCAUUAA